rnacentral:rRNA from 2 species
AAAUUGAAGAGUUUGAUCAUGGCUCAGAUUGAACGCUGGCGGCAGGCCUAACACAUGCAAGUCGAACGGUAGCACAGAGAGCUUGCUCUCGGGUGACGAGUGGCGGACGGGUGAGUAAUGUCUGGGAAACUGCCUGAUGGAGGGGGAUAACUACUGGAAACGGUAGCUAAUACCGCAUAACGUCGCAAGACCAAAGAGGGGGACCUUCGGGCCUCUUGCCAUCAGAUGUGCCCAGAUGGGAUUAGCUAGUAGGUGGGGUAACGGCUCACCUAGGCGACGAUCCCUAGCUGGUCUGAGAGGAUGACCAGCCACACUGGAACUGAGACACGGUCCAGACUCCUACGGGAGGCAGCAGUGGGGAAUAUUGCACAAUGGGCGCAAGCCUGAUGCAGCCAUGCCGCGUGUAUGAAGAAGGCCUUCGGGUUGUAAAGUACUUUCAGCGGGGAGGAAGGUGUUGCGGUUAAUAACCGCAGCAAUUGACGUUACCCGCAGAAGAAGCACCGGCUAACUCCGUGCCAGCAGCCGCGGUAAUACGGAGGGUGCAAGCGUUAAUCGGAAUUACUGGGCGUAAAGCGCACGCAGGCGGUCUGUCAAGUCGGAUGUGAAAUCCCCGGGCUCAACCUGGGAACUGCAUUCGAAACUGGCAGGCUAGAGUCUUGUAGAGGGGGGUAGAAUUCCAGGUGUAGCGGUGAAAUGCGUAGAGAUCUGGAGGAAUACCGGUGGCGAAGGCGGCCCCCUGGACAAAGACUGACGCUCAGGUGCGAAAGCGUGGGGAGCAAACAGGAUUAGAUACCCUGGUAGUCCACGCCGUAAACGAUGUCGACUUGGAGGUUGUGCCCUUGAGGCGUGGCUUCCGGAGCUAACGCGUUAAGUCGACCGCCUGGGGAGUACGGCCGCAAGGUUAAAACUCAAAUGAAUUGACGGGGGCCCGCACAAGCGGUGGAGCAUGUGGUUUAAUUCGAUGCAACGCGAAGAACCUUACCUACUCUUGACAUCCAGAGAACUUUCCAGAGAUGGAUUGGUGCCUUCGGGAACUCUGAGACAGGUGCUGCAUGGCUGUCGUCAGCUCGUGUUGUGAAAUGUUGGGUUAAGUCCCGCAACGAGCGCAACCCUUAUCCUUUGUUGCCAGCGGUCCGGCCGGGAACUCAAAGGAGACUGCCAGUGAUAAACUGGAGGAAGGUGGGGAUGACGUCAAGUCAUCAUGGCCCUUACGAGUAGGGCUACACACGUGCUACAAUGGCGCAUACAAAGAGAAGCGAACUCGCGAGAGCAAGCGGACCUCAUAAAGUGCGUCGUAGUCCGGAUUGGAGUCUGCAACUCGACUCCAUGAAGUCGGAAUCGCUAGUAAUCGUAGAUCAGAAUGCUACGGUGAAUACGUUCCCGGGCCUUGUACACACCGCCCGUCACACCAUGGGAGUGGGUUGCAAAAGAAGUAGGUAGCUUAACCUUCGGGAGGGCGCUUACCACUUUGUGAUUCAUGACUGGGGUGAAGUCGUAACAAGGUAACCGUAGGGGAACCUGCGGUUGGAUCACCUCCUUACCUUAAAGAA